rnacentral:rRNA from 1 species
UACGUAGGGCGCAAGCGUUGUCCGGAAUUAUUGGGCGUAAAGAGCUCGUAGGCGGCUUGUCGCGUCUGUUGUGAAAGCCCGGGGCUUAACCCCGGGUCUGCAGUGGAUACGGGCAGGCUAGAGGCAGGUAGGGGAGAACGGGAAUUCCCGGUGUGAGCGGUGGAAAUGCGCAGAUAUCGGGAGGAACACCGGUGGCGACGGCGGCUUCCUGGACCGACACUGACGCUGAGCGCGAAAGCUAGGGGAGCAAACGGG